rnacentral:rRNA from 1 species
UACGGGGGGGGCAAGCGUUGUUCGGAAUUACUGGGCGUAAAGGGCGCGUAGGUGGCCAACUAAGUCAGACGUGAAAUCCCUCGGCUUAACCGAGGAACUGCCUGUCAAACUGCAUGGCUUGAGACCAGGAGAGGUGAGUGGAAUUCCCAGUGUAGCGGUGAAAUGCGUAGAUAUUGGGAGGAACACCAGUGGCGAAGGCGGCUCACUGGACUGGUACUGACGCUGAUGCGCGAAAGCGUGGGGAGCAAACAGG